rnacentral:rRNA from 1 species
CUAACACAUGCAAGUCGAGGGGCAGCACAAAGAUAGUUUACUAUUUUGGUGGCGACCGGCGCACGGGUGAGUAACGCGUAUGCAACCUACCUUAUACAGGAGUAUAGCCCGAAGAAAUUCGGAUUAAUCCUCCAUAGUAUUUUCUAAUGGCAUCAUAUGGAAAAUUAAAGCUUCGGCGGUAUAAGAUGGGCAUGCGUCCUAUUAGCUAGAUGGUAAGGUAAUGGCUUACCAUGGCAACGAUAGGUAGGGGGCCUGAGAGGGUGACCCCCCACACUGGUACCGAGACACGGACCAGACUCCUACGGGAGGCAGCAGUGAGGAAUAUUGGGCAAUGGAGGCAACUCUGACCCAGCCAUGCCGCGUGCAGGAAGAAUGCCCUAUGGGUUGUAAACUGCUUUUAUUUAGGAAUAAACCCUUCUACGUGUAGAAGGCUGAAUGUACUAAACGAAUAAGCACCGGCUAACUCCGUGCCAGCAGCCGCGGUAAUACGGAGGGUGCAAGCGGUAUCCGGAAUCAUUGGGUUUAAAGGGUCCGCAGGCGGACGUAUAAGUCAGUGGUGAAAUCCCGCAGCUUAACUGCAGAACUGCCAUUGAUACUGUACGUCUUGAAUUCGGUCGAAGUGGGCGGAAUGUGUAGUGUAGCGGUGAAAUGCAUAGAUAUUACACAGAACACCGAUAGCGAAGGCAGCUCACUAGGCCUGGAUUGACGCUCAGGGACGAAAGCGUGGGGAUCAAACAGGAUUAGAUACCCUGGUAGUCCACGCUGUAA